GUAACAUAUAUAUAACAAUAUUUUAAUUUUAUAGUGAAGUGGGGAAAUGCUCCAUGUGAACUUGACUUGGAAAUGCCCAGUUAGUCGAUCCUAAGAGAUGGGAAAUCCUUGUAUCAAGGGCGCACUCUACAUGAACAUCGAAAGAGAAUUGGGUUAAUAUUCCCAAACCGGGACAUGGUGGUGGACAACAAUGUUAGGAAAUCUAGAGAUGUCAUUGGGGGCCUAGGAAGAGUUAUAUUUUCUUUUUAAAGACUUUCCAAUCAGUUAAACCGGAGAUAGGUUCCAACAUCUGAAAGAGAACCACACGUCUUGCGGUGUUUGGUUCCCCCUCGAUGACCAUUGUAAAUAUGGUGAACCGAGUACCAUCCAUUCCGGAUCAUACUCAUAUCUGCCUCGGAUUUUUCAAUGUCCAGUAGGUUA
rnacentral:ncRNA from 1 species